rnacentral:piRNA from 1 species
UACUCACAUGCACAUUCUCACACAAA